CAAGACAACUUCAAGCGGUCAAUGCCUUAUGGACCAGAUCCAGCUCCGUUGAAAUGAUUGAAGUGACUUCCAUUGACUUCAAGAGGAUUUGGAUCACGGCCCUCACUACCAACUGGUUUUGCAGCUAUGGUUGAUUUCUGCAACUGCAACUGAUUUUCAAUCUGACAACAAAGGUCUAUGAAAGAGAGAAAACAACCGCUAAAUGUCCUAAGAAAAGCAAGCUAUUUCUAUGUGACAACAGUCUCAUUUUGAAUCAUGAUUACUCUCUUUUGAACAAGGAACAGCA